UACGGAGGGGACUAGCGUUGUUCGGAAUUACUGGGCGUAAAGCGCACGUAGGCGGAUUUGUAAGUCAGGGGUGAAAUCCCGGGGCUCAACCUCGGAACUGCCUUUGAUACUGCAAAUCUUGAGUCCGGAAGAGGUGAGUGGAAUUCCUAGUGUAGAGGUGAAAAUUCGUAGAUAUUAGGAAGAACACCAAUUGCGAAGGCAGCUCACUACGCGAAUAUUGACACUGAGGCACGAAAGCGUGGGGAUCAAACAGG
rnacentral:rRNA from 1 species